rnacentral:lncRNA from 1 species
UUUAAUAUCGGACUCGGAUAGAUCUAGAAGAGAUACCGGAAAAUUCGGUGAGCGUGCAAAAGAAUGGAAGAAUGAACAAGUCAAACAAAGAUGUAAAUUGGAUUGGAGUAGAGAGAAUUCUUCAAAAAGGAAGCGGGAGGAUGAAAAAGAAUAUCCAAGAUUGGAGUCGAAGGUUAAGAAGAUAACUCUCCCGGAGGAGUGUGAGGUACUAAAGAAUUGGUCUGAAAAUAUUUUGAUGAUGUUAUCAUAGACCAUCCUCUUAUUUAUAAAAUUUAUUACAUAAUUAAGUAGUUCAAUUAACAAAUUUAACAAAUUAUUCUAAUCACUCAAUAGUAAACAAAUUCUUUACUUUGGUUGGACCUAAGCUAUUUUCGUCCAUUUGAAGAAUCAAUGGGCUCGGCUUAGUUGAUGGCGAUCGAGUUCUUCUCCGAUGAGCGGAAAUCGAAGUUUUCAAUAGUUGAACAAGUUUCGAUAUGUUACACUGGACCCAUGAAAUUGGUUCGAGUCUGGGUCUAAUUAAUAUGUAAAAAAUUCGCAUUCAAACUAAUAAAAGUAUAAUAUUGGCAAUACAAUAUAUUUCAGUUCUUCUCCAAAGUCACUCUUCAAUCUUGAUGAGGGUCGUACUCAACAAUUUUGGAUUGGUUGAUCGACUGGCUGGUCGAUGUCAACCAGUCUAUCGUCCGACUUUACAAUGCAGGAGCAUUACAGUUGGUUGGAUCAGAAACUCUGGAUAUUUGGUCGUACGCUUCACGUACUCUUUUGCUCUGAAAGAGGUCGGUCACUUGAUAUCUGUCUGUGAAAUGAGAGAUCUCCCCACUAUUAAUAGACUUUCCGGAGGGUAGAUUGGUCAUUUCACUUUGUCGAAGAACAAAAUGGACCUUUCCUAGGAUGUUCGGCCGGUUGAGUAGUCGAACCCAACUCAGGUAAGGGCUGCCUGACCGAGUUGGGACCGACCUGUUGAUGGUCGACUGUCCAGGAGGGCAAUCACCAUAGUCUAAGACCGACUAGGAUUCCGAGCGGUCGACAUGAUCGAUCUAGAAUCCGGUCGGCUCUUCAGAUGUGGUUUGAUUCCCAAUCAAUUUCGUCGUGAACCUAUAAAGAGGAUAGGAUUUGCCCAAUCUAUGCUUGGUUGAAAGCCCAGGCCUACUUGCAAUCCAGGGCCGCAGGCCUUCUUCAGGGAUUUUGAGACCCUACUUUGAUGGGUUGUAGUGUAGAACACGGAAGAAUUCGUGGAA